rnacentral:tRNA from 1 species
GGCCUCGUAGCUCAGCUGAUAGCGCUCACACUCUACUGAAGUGUCCACGGAAAUUGUGCGUGGGUUCGAAUCCCCUCGGGGUCA